UCGGGAAUUUUGGGCAAUGGGCGAAAGCCUGACCCAGCAACGCCGCGUGAUGGACGAAGUGCUUCGGCACGUAAACAUCUUUUAUGUGGGAUGAAAUUAUUGACAGUACCACAUGAAUAAGGGGCUCCUAACUCUGUGCCAGCAGGAGCGGUAAUACAGAGGCCCCAAGCGUUAUCCGGAAUCACUGGGCGUAAAGGGUGUCGAGGCGGUUGUAUUAGUCGUUCGUAAAAUCUACGAGCUUAACUUGUAGGCGGCGAACGAAACGGUACGACUUGAGGUUUGGAGAGGUGCGUGGAACUCACGGUGUAGGGGUGAAAUCCGUUGAUAUCGUGGGGAACACCAAAGGCGAAGGCAGCGCACUGGCCAAAAUCUGACGCUCACACACGAAAGCUAGGGUAGCGAAGAGGAUUAGAUACCCUUGUAGUCCCUGAGCGGGCUGGCAAGGCGCAU
rnacentral:rRNA from 1 species